UGGCUAAGGGUAGUACUAAAGGUGUCUCCUUCAGAAACAGGAAUUAUCUCAGACCCUCUACCCUCUGUUGGCAGACAGACAAAGAAAUUAAGGCUUGAAUGGAAAAGUAAAUGGAACCCAUCGAGAGAUGAACAUUUUGAGAGCCAUGGGGAAUUCUGCAUUUUCGCUGGUGUCCUCACAAUUCUCUUUAGACAUUUGAAAUCUGUUUGGAUGCCAACAGGGAAUGAGAAUCCUGACUUUCUGCAGAGACUGAGUAUGAAAAUGCAUGCAGACAAGGAAAUAUGGAAUGGUCAGCUUCGAGCCCCAAAGUAAUGAAGUUCUCCGCUAAAACAUUCUGUGGUGCAGAUGGAAGACCAUAAAAGUUCCUGGAACUGGGGUUAAUCCCACAACACACAAGUCUAAUCAAGACAGCAUCAUGGUUCUUGGAAGGAGAUUAAAUGAACAGUAGUCCAUGGGCACUUUUCAGGUGCACAAAGCUCCUGUUUGGCUUAUGGAAAACAGCCUUAAAUGGGGUACAAAUGUGGUAAUAUUUAUAUGAAUGAAGCUGCUGCUUACUGGAAUGUAGACCAACUAACUUUUCUGGUGCAUUUGUUUCCAGCGAUGGCAAAGCAUAAAUGUGCUAUAAAACGUAAGAACAGUCAUAAGCAACCUUGAAAAUGUCCCUAUAUUGCUUAAACUCUUCUCUCAACUCUCCUUCUUUAUAAAGUGUAUAUAUAUACAUUCAGAGGCUGUAGGAAGUUUUCAGGUUGACCAUAUUUUUGACCAUAACUCUGGCUUCUAUGAUUUUGCUCCCACAGAAUCUUUAAAAAUCUGCCAUGAAACCUGUACUGUACUGCCAAAGAAGUUGAGGAGCAUUUGUUAUAACAUUAAGUAGGAAGGGAAGUACAGCAGUUUAUGUCAUAUUACACAGACACUUCCAUUGUCCUUUGGGUGUACAUGUCCCAAUAUGUAUAAGUACCAGCACUUUAUCAGGAAAUAAUUUUAUGAAGCAGGAUGGAACAGUUUGCUAAGUACAACAACAUUGAAAAAGAAAUUAUUAAGCCACAUUUUUUUCUUUAAAGCAGGAAAAAAGGAAAUGUAAAGUUUAGUAUAUUCAUUAGCAAUUGGAGGAGAAAGUCCAGAAUACUCCAGAAAGGCCAAAGUAUUCAAAUAAUUUCUGAAAGGUUCUGUUGAAAUGAAUUUCUUAUUUAUUAAAAAGACAACGCAUUCUCAAGAGACCAUCUUCUGCAGUGAAAUAAUUUAGUUUCUUCAUAUAGACACAUCAUACACAAUGUUAACAACCAUGAAAAACAAUACAAAAUGUUUUGAAAUUUAACAAGUAGAAAAAUAUAACUAGUAUAUAUGGCAAUUGUGAAUCUAAUACUGUACAGAAGUAUUUAUGGAACUUUACAAAUAAAUUAUAGCUUAAAU
rnacentral:lncRNA from 1 species